rnacentral:ncRNA from 2 species
GUGUCCCCCACUGGAGAGAGGCCGCCCCCCGAGGCGGUCCACCGAAGGAGCAAGUGCGGCAUCGUCCGCGCGAAUCUCUCAGGUAAAGCGGACAGAGGGGCAGCG